rnacentral:rRNA from 1 species
CCUACGGGUGGCAGCAGUGAGGAAUAUUGGUCAAUGGGCGCGAGCCUGAACCAGCCAAGUCGCGUGAAGGAUGACUGCCCUAUGGGUUGUAAACCUCUUUUAUAUGGGAAUAAAAUGUUCCACGUGUGGGAUUUUGUAUGUACCCUAUGAAUAAGGAUCGGCUAACUCCGUGCCAGCAGCCGCGGUAAUACGGAGGAUCCGAGCGUUAUCCGGAUUUAUUGGGUUUAAAGGGAGCGUAGGUGGAUUGUUAAGUCAGUUGUGAAAGUUUGCGGCUCAACCGUAAAAUUGCAGUUGAAACUGGCAGUCUUGAGUACAGGAGAGGUGGGCGGAAUUCGUGGUGUAGCGGUGAAAUGCUUAGAUAUCACGAAGAACUCCGAUUGCGAAGGCAGCUCACUGGACUGCAACUGACACUGAGGCUCGAAAGUGUGGGUAUCAAACAGGAUUAGAUACCCUUGUAGUC